AUACAUGCAAGUCGAACGCGCAGCGAAAGGUGCUUGCACCUUUCAAGCGAGUGGCGAACGGGUGAGUAACACGUGGAUAACCUGCCUCAAGGCUGGGGAUAACAUUUGGAAACAGAUGCUAAUACCGAAUAAAACUUCAUAUCGCAUGAUAAGGAGUUAAAAGGCGCUACGGCGUCACCUAGAGAUGGAUCCGCGGUGCAUUAGUUAGUUGGUGAGGUAAAGGCUUACCAAGACGAUGAUGCAUAGCCGAGUUGAGAGACUGAUCGGCCACAUUGGGACUGAGACACGGCCCAAACUCCUACGGGAGGCUGCAGUAGGGAAUCUUCCACAAUGGGCGAAAGCCUGAUGGAGCAACGCCGCGUGUGUGAUGAAGGCUUUCGGGUCGUAAAGCACUGUUGUAUGGGAAGAAAUGCUAAGGUAGGGAAUGAUCUUAGUUUGACGGUACCAUACCAGAAAGGGACGGCUAAAUACGUGCCAGCAGCCGCGGUAAUACGUAUGUCCCGAGCGUUAUCCGGAUUUAUUGGGCGUAAAGCGAGCGCAGACGGUUGAUUAAGUCUGAUGUGAAAGCCCGGAGCUCAACUCCGGAAUGGCAUUGGAAACUGGUUAACUUGAGUGUUGUAGAGGUAAGUGGAACUCCAUGUGUAGCGGUGGAAUGCGUACAUAUAUGGAAGAACACCAGUGGCGAAGGCGGCUUACUGGACAACAACUGACGUUGAGGCUCGAAAGUGUGGGUAGCAAACAGGAUUAGAUACCCUGGUAGUCCACACCGUAAACGAUGAACCUAGGUGUUAGGAGGUUUCCGCC
rnacentral:rRNA from 1 species